GACGAACCGUGCGAACGUUAUUCGGAAUCACUGGGCUUAAAGGGCGCGUAGGCGGGCUCGUAAGUCAGGGGUGAAAUCCCACGGCCCAACCGUGGAAGUGCCUCUGAUACUGCGGCCUCGAGGGGAUAGGGCGUGCGGAACUCAGGGUGGAGCGGUGAAAUGCGUAGAUAUCCUGAGGAACACCGGUGGCGAAAGCGGCGCGCUGGAUCCCUUCUGACGCUGAGGCGCGAAAGCCAGGGGAGCAACGGG
rnacentral:rRNA from 1 species